rnacentral:rRNA from 1 species
GGCUAGAGUUUGAUCAUGGCUCAGGACGAACGCUGGCGGCGUGCCUAACACAUGCAAGUCGAACGGAAAAUUGAGCUUCGGUUCAAUUUUUAGUGGCGAACGGGUGAGUAACGCGUAGGCAACCUGCCCUUUAGACGGGGACAACAUUCCGAAAGGGAUGCUAAUACCGGAUGUGACGCUCCUAUCGCAUGAGGGGAGCGUGAAAGAUGGCCUCUACAUGUAAGCUAUCGCUAAAGGAUGGGCCUGCGUCUGAUUAGCUAGUUGGUAGUGUAACGGACAACCAAGGCGAUGAUCAGUAGCCGGUCUGAGAGGAUGAACGGCCACAUUGGGACUGAGACACGGCCCAGACUCCUACGGGAGGCAGCAGUGGGGAAUCUUCCGCAAUGGGCGAAAGCCUGACGGAGCAACGCCGCGUGAGUGAAGAAGGUCUUCGGAUUGUAAAGCUCUGUUGUACGUGACGAAUGUGCCGGUUGUGAAUAAUGGCUGGUAAUGACGGUAGUGUACGAGGAAGCCACGGCUAACUACGUGCCAGCAGCCGCGGUAAUACGUAGGUGGCAAGCGUUGUCCCGGAAUUAUUGCGCGUAAAGAGCAUGUAGGCGGCCUAUUAAGUCGGGCGUGAAAAUGCGGGGCUCAACCCCGUAUGGCGCCCGAUACUGGUGGGCUUGAGUGCAGAUGAUGAAAG